rnacentral:lncRNA from 10 species
AACAGAGAAUGCUCUAGGGUUCUGGGGCCGGACUUGGAGCUGUGCAGAGACCUGGGAUCUACCAGAGAUGCAGCCCCCAAGUACAUGGGGUAGUGAGGAAGCCCUCUGGUCUCUCUUCUCCCAUUCUUUUACUCUUUUCUUGUUCCUUCCACUGGCCCAAAAAACUGAACGCCAACAGGCAAGGGAUCCCAGGUGAAGCCUCACAGGAGGCUGACCUCCCAGGACUUACAUCAAGGCAGAUGGUGAGUGCCCCCCAAUGGUGAGUGCAUGUGCCAGCCAUGAUAGAUGGGAGUGGGAUGAUCCUCAGGCCCCUGGCAGAGAGUUCAGUUUCUGAGGUCAUCAGAGAAGAUUUGCCAGAGGCUUUCGCUUACCCAAGGGAAGUAAUGUUAAAGGGUCAUGUGUUUUUCUGAAGCAAAGUAUCGCUUUUACAGAGAAAUGGCUGCUACCUAGGGCCAGUGCCUUCACAGUGAGUGCCAAUGUGUUUCACAGUCCAUGCUCACCUCUGGUAAUUUCCAAAAUCUGUCAUCAAAAUGAUCCAGAUCAUGAACUCAGAGAGAAACAACCCAUACUGGCUUGUCUGACCUCCCUGAUAGUCUAUCAACGAGAUUGAUUCUAUCUCAGUCUUACGGAUGCAAUUCUUCAUAUCCAAAAGAUACUGCCAUUUGUAGCACUUGUUCUAAGGCAGCAAAAGCAGCAGGAAGGACCAAUUCUACCUACAGCACAGGAUUCCAGAGAUGUCUUGAUUUUUAUUAAUGUUGGUUUCAAUGGAUGUUCCCCAGGUUUGUAAUGAGAUUUUAAUAUUGAGAAAAUCUCUGUCUUUGGCUCCUAGUUGAGUCAAUAGCAUGACUCAACUUGCUUUUUUCAUGAGUCUGUCCUUAGUAGCAGUGCAAUAAGUGACAAGUUACUUGACUCAUCUAAGGUCCACAUUCGUCUUCUGUUAAACAUGGGAGGUGUUUGUGUGAACUGAAUAAAGCAAUGUGUGAAAAGGUAUUUGGAAGACUAUGUAACGCUUUAUAAAUGGCAGGUAUUGUAUAUGUUUAUUUGAAAUAAAUUAAUACAUGCUUCACAAUUAGGCUAGCCAUAGUACUGAUUAGCAUGCUAGGAAUAGUAUAAUGAUUAGCUCAGGUUAAGAGCACUCUCUGGAGUCAGACUGCCUGGAUUCAAAUCCUGGCUCCUCCACUUGAGCUGGGUGACCUUGAAAAUGUUCUUAACCUCUGUGUCAGUCUUCUCAGCUGUAAAGUGGUGCUAAUUAAAGUGCCUAUCUCAAAGAGCGGUUUAGAGGACUUAAUAGUUGAUAGAUCUAAAGUACUUAGAACAUUUCCUGGCAUAGAGUAAGUGCUCAUGAAAUAUUAGCUAUUAUCAUCAUCAUCGUCAUCAUCUGAGGUAAAAUUUGAACUAUGAAAAUAAGUGAUGAAGCUAUUUGUAAGAGAGGACUGCUUUUACCUUGGAGUUUAUUCUUUUAUGCUUUUGGAAACCAAGUAAUUACUUGUAUUAUUAUAUUACUACUACAUUUUUUCGAGACAGAGUCUCACUCUGUCACCCAGGCUGGAAUGUGGUGGCGUAAUCUUGGCUCACUGCAACCUCCACCUCUGGAGUUCAAGUGAUUGUCCUGC